rnacentral:rRNA from 1 species
GUCCACGCCGUAAACGAUGGGUGCUAGGUGUGGGGGUGUCGACUCCCUCCGUGCCGAAGACUAACGCAUUAAGCACCCCGCCUGGGGAGGUACGGCCGCAAGGCUAAAACUACAAAGGAAUUGACGGGGGCCCGGCACAAGCAGCGGAGCAUGUGGUUUAAUUCGACGCAACGCGAAGAACCUUACCUGGGCUUGACAUGCACGGGAAUGUCGUAGAAAUACGGCAGCCUUUCGGGGCUCGUGUACAGGUGUUGCAUGGCUGUCGU